rnacentral:rRNA from 1 species
CCGACGGUGAGGGGCGAAAGCUGGGGGAGCAAACCGGAUUAGAUACCCGGGUAGUCCCAGUCGUAAACGAUGUGCGUUAGGUGUAUCGGUGACCACGAGUCACCGAGGUGCCGAAGAGAAAUCGUGAAACGUACCGCCUGGGAAGUACGGUCGCAAGGCUGAAACUUAAAGGAAUUGGCGGGGGAGCACCACAACAGGUGGAGCCUGCGGUUUAAUCGGACUCAACGCCGGGAAACUCACCAGAUAAGACAGCUGAAUGAUAGUCGGGCUGAAGACUCUACUUGACUAGCUGAGAGGAGGUGCAUGGCCGUCGUCAGUUCGUACUGUGAAGCAUCCUGUUAAGUCAGGCAACGAGCGAGACCCACGCCAACAGUUGCU